GACGAACGCUGGCGGCGUGCUUAACACAUGCAAGUCGAACGGAAAGGCCCUGCUUUUGUGGGGUGCUCGAGUGGCGAACGGGUGAGUAACACGUGAGUAACCUGCCCUUGACUUUGGGAUAACUUCAGGAAACUGGGGCUAAUACCGGAUAGGAGCUCCUGCUGCAUGGUGGGGGUUGGAAAGUUUCGGCGGAUGGGGCUGGACUCGCGGCUUAUCGGCUUGUUGGUGGGGUAGUGGCUUACCAAGGCUUUGACGGGUAGCCGGCCUGAGAGGGUGACCGGCCACAUUGGGACUGAGAUACGGCCCAGACUCCUACGGGAGGCAGCAGUGGGGAAUAUUGCACAAUGGGCGGAAGCCUGAUGCAGCAACGCCGCGUGCGGGAUGACGGCCUUCGGGUGGUAAACCGCUUUCGCCUGUGACGAAGCGUGAGUGACGGUAAUGGGUAAAGAAGCACCGGCUAACUACGUG
rnacentral:rRNA from 1 species